rnacentral:rRNA from 1 species
AGCCUGAACGCUGGCGGCGUGGCUAAGACAUGCAAGUCGUACGGGCAUAGCAAUAUGUCAGUGGCGCACGGGUGAGUAAUGUAUAGCUAAUCUACCCUGGAUUCUGGGAUAGCUGACCGAAAGGUCAGGUAAUACCAGAUGAUAUAACUCCUGUCGCAUGGCUAGGGUUCUCAAAGGGCUAACCGUUCGUGGGAUGAGGCUUAUAUUGUAUCAGCGUAGUUGGUAGGUAA